CCCAGAAUUCAUAUCCAUCCAGAACCUGAGGGUGUGACCUUAUUUGGAAACAGGGUCUUUGCAGAUGUAAUUAAGAUGACAUCAUAAUGUGUUAGUGUGAGCCCUAAAUCCAAUGCCUGGUAUCCUGGAGAUUCAGACACACACACAGACAGGGAAAAAGGCCACGUGGGGAUGGCUGCAGAGAGUGAAGUGAUAUGUCUACAAGCCAAGGAACGCCAAAGACUACUAGCAACCACCACAAGCUAGGAAGAGGCAAAGGAUUCUCCUGUAAAGCCUUCAAAGGGAGCACGGCCCUGCGGCCACCUUAAUCCAGAAUUCCAGCCUCCAGAACUCCUCAGUUUACUCAGCUAUGAAACAGAAGUUCCACUAAGAGUCAUGGAGAUGCUCACUCUCACCCUCUACUCAUGCCUCCUCAGGAACAAGGAACACCGAUGAGUAAGACCUAAAGAGACAAAAUUCAUGCUCAGGCCCAGAAGAAAAGAAGAACAGACCGGAAAGCUCAAGCCACCCUCAGGAAGAGGUAUAAGGAACAUCUGAAAGUCACAGGGGCCCCAGCCUAGCCAACUAAAAGAAGGAAGACAGGUUGGGCCCUGGAGAACAGCCAAUCCUCCUUGUUGCAUGGGAAAGUGAAGUCUGGGAAGGCAGAAGCCCAGGGCCUGAGAAACCAGCAUCUGGCAGCAGGGGAAAUGACAAGAAGCUCAUGCCCCCAGAAGCCAGCAGCUAUCAAGACAAGGGCUUUCCUUUCUCUUGCUGCCCAGCUAUGCAUGGAAAUAACAUACAAUUUCAUGAUGUCUGUGAAUCACAGAGAUCUAGACUGUAUGCUCAACUGGAGUAUUCUGGAUUUCAGCAAUGACCAAAUAAAGAUAAACAAAUACCUGUCCUA